rnacentral:lncRNA from 1 species
AGCCAGAGAAGCCCGGUCCCUCUUCACUGGGUUACCCCUCAGCCACAGCAGCAGGUGAUUGAUUGUCUGCUAAGUCAAGCACCAAGGACAAGGAGUUCCUCAUUUCCUGAUGCUGCUUUUCGUGCAGAUUGGAAGAUUAAUGAUAAAACAUGCAAACAUUUCACAACUGGCUCCAAGAAAUGUCUACUUACUAUCCAUGGAUAGUGUAGCAGAAGCUAAAGUGCCCAGAAGUCAGAGUGAUACAAGAAUGCUCAUGGAGGAAUGUCAGAACCACAGGCAAGCCAAGGAGAAAGUGAGCUACAGAAAAAAAGUGAAGCUUCCCAGAAAUAAAACAAACUCUCCACUCACAAACGAUUGAUGAAAUGUAAGAGAUAAACCUUCAGAAUAACUUUAAGACCAUGGUCAGGUUGCAAAUCCUUCCAGGGUUUCAGGACAGCCAGAGUGCAUCUUGUCUCUAAGCAUACUGCGUCAGCAUGGUAAGUCCCUUUCUGUACACAGAGCUGAACAAACAUCAUGAUUAUACGUCUGCUGUGAAACAGAAAUGAUUGGGAAGCUGAUGCAAAGAAUACAAUUUUAGGUAUCGUUACCACAUACAUUUCUGUUCUAUAUAUGCAUGCAUAUAAAAUAGACCUAAAUAUAUAACACAUGGGAUUUACCUAGCAUGUGGUUUAUAUACAUAUGUGUAUAUAUGUGUAUGCUCAUGUACAUGUACACACGUAUUCCUGCUGAAAAUUAAAAGUGCUAUGUAACGAAUCUUUAAGCAGGCAAAGCUGG